GAUGAAGAACGUAGCGAAAUGCGAUAAGUAAUGUGAAUUGCAGAAUUCAGUGAAUCAUCGAAUCUUUGAACGCACCUUGCGCCCUUUGGCCAUUCCGAAGGGCAUGCCUGUUUGAGUAUCAUGAACACCUCAACUCUUCAUGGUUUUCCAUGAUGAGCUUGGACUUUGGGGGUCUUGCUGGCCUGUGGGUCGGCUCCUCUCAAAUGAAUCAGCUUGCCGGUUUUUGGUGGGCAUCACAGGUGUGAUAACUAUCUACGCUUGUGGUUUUCCACCAGGGUAACCUUCAGCAGUGGAGGUUCACUGGAGCUUACAAAUGUCUCUCCUCUGUGAGGACAGCCCCUUGAAUGUUUGAUCUCAAAUCAGGUAGGACUACCCGCUGAACUUAAGCAUAUCAAUAAGCGGAGGA
rnacentral:misc_RNA from 1 species